RAUCCGUCGACUUUAGAAAUCGUGAGGGUUCGAGUCCCUCUAUCCCCAA
rnacentral:tRNA from 1 species